CUCCCUCGUCGCCUGCGGCCUCCCUCUAGCGCCAUCUACCUCCCGCGACGUCCCUCGAAACUAGUACAUUUCUUCAAUUCACUCAAGAGAUGCUCAAUAGAGGAUUAGCUAGGCUAUCAGAGAAAUAAUCUACGCCUGGCUAUGAGCGGCUUUGUUGCCUCUGAUGCAUACAAACACGUGAUCACAAUUUCGCAACGACAUGCGUUUGCAGGGUUCCAAAACACCUGAGGGAAGAAAAAGUGAUAGAAUGCGUCCACUGUGGUUGCAGGGGUUGUGCAAGUGGAGACUAAAACUUGAGGGG